UUAGCUGAAGCCUUUCGUCUCAUUGAAGCAGCAUCUGCUAAGCUUGGAGGGAAAGAUCCUAACUCAGAGGGGGUGACAAAGGCUACCGAGAUCAGUUGGUACAAGGUCAUUUAUAAUAAGAAAAAGGUUGUGCAAACAAUCUUAGACUCCCUUUUCAAGAGACCAAUGUCAGUGGUGAGUGUCCCUUUUCCAGCAAUAGAAUCAAAUCCUGACCCUCCAGCACCCACUCCAUCCCCUCCUCAUCUGACUGGCAUCAGCCUCCCUUCUUACCUCAAAAAUGAGCUUUCCACUAAGACACUGAUGUACAUUAGAAGGCCCAGGUCUGGAAGCCCAGUUCUCUGGUUUUAGAGAUGAAAUUGCAUUCAGCAGAGAAAGGAGAAUGAUGGAGGCAAAAAGAGUGAGAAGAGACAAAGGAAACAGAUAAAGCAUCCCAAGAACAAAUUAAAGCUUAGUCGGAGCUGCCAGGCAGUACAGAACUAGGGACACACUUCCCUUUUCAAAUGUCACAGCCGCAGUCACAGAUGAUAUUUCACUGCUUGGAAUAGAACCCAACAUUUUACACUAGGACAAUGAGCCCUUUCUUCCCCAGACCAAGCCGGAAUCAAAUGCUGUAUUUGUUGGUGCUGAUUUUUCAUCAACAUAGAACAAUAGCUGCUCCUGCUCCCAGAAGAACAGAGUCUCAGAAUAAACCCAAAUAUCCACCUGAUUUUUAAAGGGAGCAGCAAGGGUGGAAAGACACUUACCUGGAGAUAAAAAGGAAGUAAACUGGUAGAAGAUUUCAGUGUCCUUCUUCUGACCGCUGUAGCCCACAAC